rnacentral:rRNA from 1 species
AGUGAACGCUGGCGGUAGGCCUAACACAUGCAAGUCGAACGGCAGCACAGUAAGAGCUUGCUCUUACGGGUGGCGAGUGGCGGACGGGUGAGGAAUACAUCGGAAUCUACUUUUUCGUGGGGGAUAACGUAGGGAAACUUACGCUAAUACCGCAUACGACCUACGGGUGAAAGCAGUGGAUCUUCGGACCUUGCGCGAUUGUAUGAGCCGAUGUCGGAUUAGCUAGUUGGCGGGGUAAAGGCUCACCAAGGCGACGAUCCGUAGCUGGUCUGAGAGGAUGAUCAGCCACACUGGAACUGAGACACGGUCCAGACUCCUACGGGAGGCAGCAGUGGGGAAUAUUGCACAAUGGGCGCAAGCCUGAUCCAGCCAUACCGCGUGAGUGAAGAAGGCCUUCGGGUUGUAAAGCCCUUUUGUUGGGAAAGAAAAGCAGCAGGUUAAUACCCCGCUGUUCUGACGGUACCCAAAGAAUAAGCACCGGCUAACUUCGUA